rnacentral:tRNA from 1 species
GUGGUAUUAGCUCAACUGGUUAGAGCGCCUGCCUGUGAAGCAGGAGGUUGCCGGUUCGAAUCCGGUAUACCACC